rnacentral:rRNA from 1 species
UACGUAGGCAGCAAGCGUUGUUCGGAGUUACUGGGCGUAAAGAGUAUGUAGGCGGUUGCGUAAGUUCGGUGUGAAAUCUCCCGGCUUAACUGGGAGGGUGCGCCGAAAACUGCGUGGCUAGAGUGCGGGAGAGGAGAGCGGAAUUCCUGGUGUAGCGGUGAAAUGCGUAGAUAUCAGGAGGAACACCGGUGGCGAAGGCGGUUCUCUGGGCCUUACCUGACGCUGGAGGAGCGAAAGCGUGGGGAGCGAACAGG